AAGAGAAUAAUAAGGAGGGAAAAAGAAAGAUAAAGUUGCAUUUUACGUACUAUUUAUUUCUUGACUACAAUUAUUUUGCUUGCAUCAUAGUAAUUGAGAUAAUCUUUUAUUUUAAAUUUAAUUUGAAGAUAUAUUUUUUGAAUUUGAAGAUAAAGUUUUCAUUUUAAGUUGAAAACUCUUUUUUGAAUUUUCUACUUCUGUCUAAGGCAAUUAUGACAUUUUCAUGAAACCCAGAAGCUUCUUCUUAUUUUUUUUCUUUUAACCAAACCGAGCUGCUUCAACCAAACCCAGAAGCUUCUCCCUUCUUAGAAAUACAAUAUACUCACCUUCUUCACACGCCACUUUCUGUUAAAAAAACAAAUUAUCAGCAAAUCAAGAAGCUUUUAGUAGAAAAAUAUAGUGUAAUUUUUUCUCAUAUCAUCUAGCUUAGACCGUUGCUGCAAUUUUUAGGUCUAAGCCCUUUUCUUAUUUCAAUCCAGCUUUCAGCCAAGUGUCGUAUCCUUUCUGUCAUAGUAAAUCAAUUUUCUCAUCAUAUCUUCUUAGGUUAAUCAGAGUAGUAUUGUGAAAUUUCCAGGUAUUUCAACUUUGCUCUGUUCAUUUUCAUGUUUCUCUCAUGUUUUGUUCUCUCUGUGUUUGAAUCUUCUAUGGAUUGAUGAAGUUUUUAAUCUUUCAUUUAAAUCUCCAAAUCAAUCUUCCUCAUAAAAUCUUCCUCAAAUUUUGAAGCCUAAGUUGUAUUUGGGAGUUGAUAUUUUAGUCUGCAGAAAUUUCUAAGUUGUGUUUGGAAGUUGAUAUUGUAGUCUAUAAAAAUUGGUAGUUUUAAUUUUAUAUUCCAUAAUUGCUGCAAUUGGUACUAAAAAAAAGGAGAAAAAGAAAUGUAUUUCCCCUUCAUCUUUGUUUUUUCGUUGGAUUUGUAAACACCACAGCAGUUGUUUGUAUUGGAAAAUUGAAGGGGAUGAGGAGGUCCAGGAAUUAGUAUCCGAGGAGGACAAACCAAUGGAGGAAGCUAUGGCUUUGGAAACAUGUUUAUUUCAUUUAAAGUUUUUUGAUAGAAUAGCAGGUUUCCAACAAUGGGAGUAACUGGACAAUACUUAACAGAUAGGGCUUCAUGGUGAAGAAAGAAGGUGUUGGAGAUGAAAAUGGUGAUAAGGAAGGGUUAUUAAUGGUUGAACGAAGCAGAGAGAGUAAAGAUAAAGCUCUAGCGAGUGAGUUGAAUAAGAAACUUGAAGCUUAUCGAAUGAGAAAUAUUAGAGAUGUUUUAAGUUGUUAAUGGAUGUGCAUUGGUUACCUUCUUUCGGUAUUAACAUGCAAAUUAAGAUCCAUGCUUUUACAGGGGGAGCAAAAGAUAUUUGCCUUCAAUACUGUAGACUUACUACAAUAGGGAAGUAUCUGACUUGACAUCUUAAUACUGUUGAUUAAUCUUUCGAGUUCUUUAUGUGUAAUUCUUUUAUUGUAUAGCUUUAGAAGAGUGUUUAAAUUGUUUACCAUUUUUGCUGGUGGAAUCUCAUAGGCCUCAGAGAAUAUGAUAAUAAAGUGCUUUCUAUGAUAGACAUAACAAUGCACCAUGAGAUUAACUAUGUUCCAUGUCUUUGACCAAAUUACAUUCUUCUACUAGUAAUACAUUAGAAACCAUAUAGCUAAAGUAUAUGUGACAAUCCUCUGUGGAAAAAUGAAGAGUUUUUCAUGAAGAUGCCUUUCAAGAAAAUUGGUUGUUCAUUUGGUGUAAGUUGCUUUAGCAUGCUUUUGGUGCUUGCAGAAAAGAGCUUUACUCAAUGCUAUUGGUAACUUGGGGAUAAUAGGACCUUAUGGAGAUGCUUUAACCUAAGUUGCGCGGACUCUUCACUUUCGUUGUCGUACCCGUGUCGGAUUCUCCAAAAAUGCACUACUUUUGGAGUGUCUGACACGCACCCGCCGAUAUUUUUGAAGAGUCCGAGCAACAUAGGCUUUAACUAAGCUUGAAUGCAGUUUAGAUUGGAUGGAGAGGUUUCUACUCCAUUGACUUCUUCAGGAGCCAUUUCUAGAAUGGCUUACAAGUAAUAUAUGUUACGUUAUCAGUGCUGUUUGGAUAAAAGAACAAGUAUAAAGACUGACAAGCAGAAGUUAUUGGAGUUGUUUCUUGAAAACUUUAGUCACUAUUGCUCAUCUAGUAAUGGUAAUAAAUCUUCUCUGCUUGAGAAAUUCUAUUACUACAAAGCUUAAACCUAUAAAUGGAGAAGAGAAUAAUGACUAAGUUGAUUAAAUUUUGGAUAAUUUAAAGGUACGAAAAGUAAUAUAACUCCCUGUACAAGAUAAUAACUGCAUAAUUUUUUAAGUCAAUUACUGACUUAUUGCUAAGAAAAAUAAAAGAGCAAUGUUUAAAUGUUUAAGCUUUUAAUUGGAGAUGAAUUGUGUAAUUCACCCAUAUUUUUUAUUACUAACUGCAUAUGUUCAUGGUGAACAUAUUAUGUUGCUGAACUCUCGAUUGACAAGGUGAACAUUAUUCUAUAAGACUUUCAUUGGAUUAUAAAGUUUGGAAUAUAUACUGACAUGAUGUAUUGAUGCGGAAGUACGAAUAUAGCACUUAAAUCAAAUAAAAUAUAAAACAAAAUUCAGGUUAUCUCCUCUUGAAUUUUGACCAACUCUUUUUUUCCCCCUUCCUUAAUCUGGUAUGAUGCAUUUUGUCUGAUGUGUCUUUCAGAGGCUUUUUCCUGAUAUGUUCUGAUAUUUAGAUGCUUGUGUAUUACUGAUACUUUGGUUCCUACAUUGUUUGUCUUCUUCAGAUUUACUCUCUGUUAUGGUAAUUGUGUGUUCAUCAUUUCAGAGUUGGCUAAGUAUUGCUUCUUCCUGUUGCAAGGAGACCAACAUCCCAAAGUUGAUCCUUAUAUUUUGGAUGGUUAAGACUUAAGCAUUAGAAAUUAUUGGUCAUGUUAUUGUCAUUUAAAGUUGUUAAGUAACAGAAUAACUUUUUUUUUCUUCAAUUUAUGUAUCCUUUGAGUGGUAGACAAUGAUGAAUUGUUGGAAUCACUUGACGUGCUAGACCAGUAGUUUGUACAUGCUACAUUACGAAGAGAACGUUGUUGAGUACAUCAUCUUUGUUUUUUUCGUUCAUUUUUCUGUAUUCUAAAUUGGUACAAUGUGAUGAAACUAUUUGUAAUAUUGAGCUUAUAUGCAGAUUUAAUCUCUGCAUUCAGUUGGAUUUCCUACAA